GACGAACGCUGGCGGUGUGCUUCACACAUGCAAGUCGAACGGGGUAGCAAUACCCAGUGGCGGACGGGUGAGUAACACGUGGGAAUCUACCAUUAGAUGGGGAAUAACAGGCCGAAAGGACUGCUAAUGCCGCAUAUGUAUGUACCUCGACAGGGGUGUAUAUGAAAGGAGUAAUCCGUCUGAUGAUGAGCCCGCGUCCGAUUAGCUAGUUGGUAGGGUAACGGCCUACCAAGGCGACGAUCGGUAGGUGGUCUGAGAGGAUGAAUCACCCACAAUGGGACUGAGACACGGCCCAUACUCCUACGGGAGGCAGCAGUGGGGAAUUUUACGCAAUGGGGGAAACCCUGACGUAGCGACACCGCGUGAGCGAAGAAGCCCUUUGGGGUGUAAAGCUCUGUC
rnacentral:rRNA from 1 species